AUUGAACGCUGGCGGCAUGCUUUACACAUGCAAGUCGAACGGCAGCGGGGAGGAGCUUGCUUCUCUGCCGGCGAGUGGCGAACGGGUGAGUAAUACAUCGGAACGUGUCGAGAAGAGGGGGAUAACCACCCGAAAGGGUGGCUAAUACCGCAUAAAUUCUGAGGAAGAAAGCUGGGGACCUAGGAAUAGGCCUAGCGCUUUUUGAGCGGCCGAUGUCGGAUUAGCUAGUUGGUUAGGUAAAGGCUCACCAAGGCGAAGAUCUGUAGCGGGUCUGAGAGGAUGAGCCGCCACACUGGGACUGAGACACGGCCCAGACUCCUACGGGAGGCAGCAGUGGGGAAUUUUGGACAAUGGGGGCAACCCUGAUCCAGCCAUGCCGCGUGUAUGAAGAAGGCCUUAGGGUUGUAAAGUACUUUUGUUAGGGAAGAAAAGUCAGCUGUGAAUAAUGGCUGAUACUGACGGUACCUAAAGAAUAAGCACCGGCUAACUACGUG
rnacentral:rRNA from 1 species